rnacentral:rRNA from 1 species
ACGGAGGUGGCAAGCGUUGUUCGGAUUUACUGGGUGUAAAGGACAUGUAGGUGUCCUGCUAAGUCGGGUGUGAAAUCCCUUGGCUCAACCAAGGAACUGCAUCCGAUACUGACAGGAUUGAGUACGGGAGAGGUAAGCGGAAUUCCGUAAGUAAGAGUGAAAUCUGCAGAUAUACGGAGGAACACCAUUAGCGAAGGCGGCUUACUGGUCCGAUACUGACACUGAAAUGUGAAAGCUAGGGGAGCAAACAG